rnacentral:rRNA from 1 species
UUAAGCGACUAAGCGUACACGGUGGAUGCCCUGGCAGUCAGAGGCGAUGAAGGGCGUGCUAAUCUGCGAUAAGCGCCGGUAAGGUGAUAUGAACCGUUAUAACCGGCGAUACCCGAAUGGGGAAACCCAGUGUGAUUCGUCACACUAUCAUUAACUGAAUCCAUAGGUUAAUGAGGCGAACCGGGGGAACUGAAACAUCUAAGUACCCCGAGGAAAAGAAAUCAACCGAGAUUCCCCCAGUAGCGGCGAGCGAACGGGGAGGAGCCCAGAGCCUGAAUCAGCAUGUGUGUUAGUGGAAGCGUCUGGAAAGGCGCGCGAUACAGGGUGACAGCCCCGUACACAAAAGCGCAUGUGCUGUGAGCUCGAUGAGUAGGGCGGGACACGUGGUAUCCUGUCUGAAUAUGGGGGGACCAUCCUCCAAGGCUAAAUACUCCUGACUGACCGAUAGUGAACCAGUACCGUGAGGGAAAGGCGAAAAGAACCCCGGCGAGGGGAGUGAAAAAGAACCUGAAACCGUGUACGUACAAGCAGUGGGAGCACNGUGACUGCGUACCUUUUGUAUAAUGGGUCAGCGACUUAUAUUCUGUAGCAAGGUUAACCGUAUAGGGGAGCCGGAGGGAAACCGAGUCUUAACCGGGCGUUAAGUUGCAGGGUAUAGACCCGAAACCCGGUGAUCUAGCCAUGGGCAGGUUGAAGGUUGGGUAACACUAACUGGAGGACCGAACCGACUAAUGUUGAAAAAUUAGCGGAUGACCUGUGGCUGGGGGUGAAAGGCCAAUCAAACCGGGAGAUAGCUGGUUCUCCCCGAAAGCUAUUUAGGUAGCGCCUCGUGAAUUCAUCUCCGGGGGUAGAGCACUGUUUCGGCUAGGGGGCCAUCCCGGCUUACCAACCCGAUGCAAACUGCGAAUACCGGAGAAUGUUAUCACGGGAGACACACGGCGGGUGCUAACGUCCGUCGUGAAGAGGGAAACAACCCAGACCGCCAGCUAAGGUCCCAAAGUCAUGGUUAAGUGGGAAACGAUGUGGGAAGGCCCAGACAGCCAGGAUGUUGGCUUAGAAGCAGCCAUCAUUUAAAGAAAGCGUAAUAGCUCACUGGUCGAGUCGGCCUGCGCGGAAGAUGUAACGGGGCUAAACCAUGCACCGAAGCUGCGGCAGCGAACGUAUCACCCAAGACAACUUUACGGAGUUGACGAUUGACGGAGCGAAGCGACGUCAAAGCGUUCAUUAAAGUCGAGUUGGCUUAGGGAUACGUUCGUUGGGUAGGGGAGCGUUCUGUAAGCCUGUGAAGGUGUGUCGUGAGGCAUGCUGGAGGUAUCAGAAGUGCGAAUGCUGACAUAAGUAACGAUAAAGCGGGUGAAAAGCCCGCUCGCCGGAAGACCAAGGGUUCCUGUCCAACGUUAAUCGGGGCAGGGUGAGUCGACCCCUAAGGCGAGGCCGAAAGGCGUAGUCGAUGGGAAACGGGUUAAUAUUCCCGUACUUGGUGUUACUGCGAAGGGGGGACGGAGAAGGCUAUGUUGGCCGGGCGACGGUUGUCCCGGUUUAAGCGUGUAGGUGUGUGUUCCAGGUAAAUCCGGUUCACUUUAACACUGAGGCGUGACGACGAGGCACUACGGUGCUGAAGCAACAAAUGCCCUGCUUCCAGGAAAAGCCUCUAAGCAUCAGGUAACACGAAAUCGUACCCCAAACCGACACAGGUGGUCAGGUAGAGAAUACCAAGGCGCUUGAGAGAACUCGGGUGAAGGAACUAGGCAAAAUGGUGCCGUAACUUCGGGAGAAGGCACGCUGACACGUAGGUGAAGUGAUUUACUCAUGGAGCUGAAGUCAGUCGAAGAUACCAGCUGGCUGCAACUGUUUAUUAAAAACACAGCACUGUGCAAACACGAAAGUGGACGUAUACGGUGUGACGCCUGCCCGGUGCCGGAAGGUUAAUUGAUGGGGUCAGCGCAAGCGAAGCUCCUGAUCGAAGCCCCGGUAAACGGCGGCCGUAACUAUAACGGUCCUAAGGUAGCGAAAUUCCUUGUCGGGUAAGUUCCGACCUGCACGAAUGGCGUAAUGAUGGCCAGGCUGUCUCCACCCGAGACUCAGUGAAAUUGAACUCGCUGUGAAGAUGCAGUGUACCCGCGGCAAGACGGAAAGACCCCGUGAACCUUUACUAUAGCUUGACACUGAACAUUGAGCCUUGAUGUGUAGGAUAGGUGGGAGGCUUUGAAGUGUGGACGCCAGUCUGCAUGGAGCCGACCUUGAAAUACCACCCUUUAAUGUUUGAUGUUCUAACGUGGACCCGUAAUCCGGGUUGCGGACAGUGUCUGGUGGGUAGUUUGACUGGGGCGGUCUCCUCCUAAAGAGUAACGGAGGAGCACGAAGGUUGGCUAAUCCUGGUCGGACAUCAGGAGGUUAGUGCAAUGGCAUAAGCCAGCUUGACUGCGAGCGUGACGGCGCGAGCAGGUGCGAAAGCAGGUCAUAGUGAUCCGGUGGUUCUGAAUGGAAGGGCCAUCGCUCAACGGAUAAAAGGUACUCCGGGGAUAACAGGCUGAUACCGCCCAAGAGUUCAUAUCGACGGCGGUGUUUGGCACCUCGAUGUCGGCUCAUCACAUCCUGGGGCUGAAGUAGGUCCCAAGGGUAUGGCUGUUCGCCAUUUAAAGUGGUACGCGAGCUGGGUUUAGAACGUCGUGAGACAGUUCGGUCCCUAUCUGCCGUGGGCGCUGGAGAACUGAGGGGGGCUGCUCCUAGUACGAGAGGACCGGAGUGGACGCAUCACUGGUGUUCGGGUUGUCAUGCCAAUGGCACUGCCCGGUAGCUAAAUGCGGAAGAGAUAAGUGCUGAAAGCAUCUAAGCACGAAACUUGCCCCGAGAUGAGUUCUCCCUGAGACUUAGAGUCUCCUGAAGGAACGUUGAAGACGACGACGUUGAUAGGCCGGGUGUGUAAGCGCAGCGAUGCGUUGAGCUAACCGGUACUAAUGAACCGUGAGGCUUAACCUU